rnacentral:sRNA from 1 species
AUCAAGAAGAAUAAAACGCUUUCAAAAAUCUUUGAAACCAAAGGGGAGUUACACAUGGGAACUAUUGUAUGUCAAACUUGCAACUGCACAAUUGAACAUUUUGAAGAUGAGAAAGUGACGCGGCUAUAUUCAAAAUGUAAAGAGGGAGAAUGUCAAGCAGUCCAUGAAGAUUUAGACUAAUAAAUAGAAAAAGGUGCGCAUUAUAGCGCACCUUUUUGUUAU